GCAUAUCAAAAGCGGAGGAAAAGAAACCAACAGGGAUUGCCUUAGUAGCGGCGAGUGAAGCGGCAAAAGCUCAAAUUUGAAAUCUGGCUCUUUCAGAGUCCGAGUUGUAAUUUGAAGAAGGUAUCUUUGGGUCUGGCUCUUGUCUAUGUUUCUUGGAACAGAACGUCACAGAGGGUGAGAAUCCCGUGCGAUGAGAUGAUCCAGGCCUAUGUAAAGUUCCUUCGAAGAGUCGAGUUGUUUGGGAAUGCAGCUCUAAGUGGGUGGUAAAUUCCAUCUAAAGCUAAAUAUUGGCGAGAGACCGAUAGCGAACAAGUACAGUGAUGGAAAGAUGAAAAGAACUUUGAAAAGAGAGUGAAAAAGUACGUGAAAUUGUUGAAAGGGAAGGGCUUGAGAUCAGACUUGGUAUUUUGUAUGUUACUUCUUCGGGGGUGGCCUCUACAGUUUAUCGGGCCAGCAUCAGUUUGGGCGGUAGGAGAAUUGCGUUGGAAUGUGGCACGGCUUCGGUUGUGUGUUAUAGCCUUCGUCGAUACUGCCAGCCUAGACUGAGGACUGCGGUUUAUACCUAGGAUGUUGGCAUAAUGAUCUUAAGUCGCCCGUCUUGAACCACGGACCGC
rnacentral:rRNA from 1 species